AGACAUGUCAAAUCUGCAGAGAUGAGAUCGAAUUGACUGUUGAUGGAGAACCGUUUGUGGCAUGUAACGA
rnacentral:sRNA from 1 species